AUGGAAGCAGGGGCGUCAGAUCCGGGCGCUACUCAAGCAGUAGCUGGUGUGAGAGGCGACGCGGCGGCGAGCAUCCGGAGCGGCGAGCCACGGCGACGGCGGCUGGAUCAAACUAAGAGAAUCGACGACGACGCUCUGCCACGCAGAGCCUCAACAAUGGAUAAUGCAAAGUCUAUUGAUGGAUCAUUCUCAACACGGGUUUCAACAAGCCACUUGGGUACAGUUGCUAAGAAAAAUCUGGGCGAUAAUAAGAGGGCAAUCUUAAUUGGUUGCUGCUCCAAGAGCGGACCAGCAGCUGCUGCGACAGCCUGA
rnacentral:rRNA from 1 species